AACGCGAAGAACCUUACCUACCCUUGACAUGUCAGGAAUCCCGUAGAGAUAUGGGAGUGCCGCAAGGAACCUGAACACAGGUGCUGCAUGGCUGUCGUCAGCUCGUGUCGUGAGAUGUUGGGUUAAGUCCCGCAACGAGCGCAACCCUUGUCAUUAGUUGCCAUCAUUUAGUUGGGCACUCUAAUGAGACUGCCGGUGACAAACCGGAGGAAGGUGGGGAUGACGUCAAGUCCUCACGGCCCUUAUGGGUAGGGCUUCACACGUCAUACAAUGGUCGGUACAGAGGGUUGCCAAGCCGCGAGGUGGAGCCAAUCCCAGAAAGCCGAUCGUAGUCCGGAUCGUAGUCUGCAACUCGACUACGUGAAGUCGGAAUCGCUAGUAAUCGCGGAUCAGAAUGCCGCGGUGAAUACGUUCCCGGGUCUUGUACACACCG
rnacentral:rRNA from 1 species